UAGUGGGGAAUCUUGCACAAUGGAGGAAACUCUGAUGCAGCGACGCCGCGUGAGCGAAGAAGCCUUUCGGGGUGUAAAGCUCUUACGCCAGGGACGAUAAUGACGGUACCUGGAGAAGCAGCUGCGGCUAACUACGUGCCAGCAGCCGCGGUAAUACGUAGGCAGCAAGCGUUGUUCGGAAUUACUGGGCGUAAAGGGUGCGUAGGCGGCGCUCUAAGUUUGGUGUGAAAUCUCCCGGCUUAACUGGGAGGGUGCACUGAAAACUGGGGCGCUCGAGUAUGGGAGAGGAAAGCGGAAUUCCUGGUGUAGCGGUGAAAUGCGUAGAGAUCAGGAGGAACACCUGCGGUGCAGACGGCUUUCUGGACCAUCACUGACGCUGAGGCACGAAAGCGUGGGUAGCAAACG
rnacentral:rRNA from 1 species